GCUUUAAGCUUAGAGAGUGGAGGUGGCUUUAGGCUUAGAGAGUGGAGGUGGCUUUAGGCUUAGAGAGUGGAGGUGGCUUUAGGCUUAGAGAGUGGAGGUGGCUUUAGGCUUAGAGAGUGGAGGUGGCUUUAGGCUUAGAGAGUGGAGGUGGCUUUAGGCUUAGAGAGUGGAGGUGUCUUUAGGCUUAGAGAGUGGAGGUGUCUUUAGGCUUAGAGAGUGGAGGUGGCUUUAGGCUUAGAGAGUGGAGGUGUCUUUAGGCUUAUAGAGUGGAGGUGUCUUUAGGCUUAGAGAGUGGAGGUGUCUUUAGGCUUAGAGAGUGGAGGUGUCUUUAGGCUUAGAGAGUGGAGGUGUCUUUAGGCUUAUAGAGUGGUGGCUUUAGGAUUAGAGAGUGGAGGUGUCUUUAGGCUUAGAGAGUGGAGGUGUCUUUAGGCUUAUAGAGUGGUGGCUUUAGGAUUAGACGUUGGGUUUCGGGUUAGAGAGUGGAGGUGGCUUCAGGCUUAGAGAGUGGAGGUGGCUUUAGGCUUAGAGAGUGGAGGUGGCUUUAGGCUUAGAGAGUGGAGGUGGCUUUAGGCUUAGAGAGUGGAGGUGUCUUUAGGCUUAGAGAGUGGAGGUGUCUUUAGGCUUAGAGAGUGGUGGCUUUAGGAUUAGAGAGUGGAGGUGGCUUUAGGCUUAUAGAGUGUUGGCUUUAGGAUUAGAGAGUGGAGGUGUCUUUAGGCUUAUAGAGUGGUGGCUUUAGGAUUAGAGAGUGGAGGUGUCUUUAGGCUUAUAGAGUGGUGGCUUUAGGAUUAGAGAGUGGAGGUGUCUUUAGGCUUAUAGAGUGGUGGCUUUAGGCUUAGAGAGUGGAGGUGUCUUUAGGCUUAGAGAGUGGAGGUGUCUUUAGGCUUAGAGAGUGGAGGUGGCUUUAGGCUUAGAGAGUGGAGGUGUCUUUAGGCUUAGAGAGUGGAGGUGGCUUUAGGCUUAGAGAGUGGAGGUGUCUUUAGGCUUAUAGAGUGGUGGUGGCUUUAGGCUUAGAGAGUGGAGGUAGCUUUAGGCUUAGAGAGUGGAGGUGGCUUCAGGCUUAGAGAGUGGAGGUGUCUUUAGGCUUAUAGAGUGGUGGCUUUAGGCUUAGAGAGUGGUGGCUUUAGGCUUAGAGAGUGGAGGUGUCUUUAGGCUUAGAGAGUGGUGGCUUUAGGAUUAGAGAGUGGAGGUGUCUUUAGGCUUAUAGAGUGGAGGUGUCUUUAGGCUUAUAGAGUGGUGGCUUUAGGAUUAGAGAGUGGAGGUGGCUUUAGGCUUAGAGAGUGGAGGUGGCUUUAGGCUUAGAGAGUGGAGGUGUCUUUAGGCUUAGAGAGUGGAGGUGGCUUUAGGCUUAGAGAGUGGAGGUAGCUUUAGGCUUAGAGAGUGGUGGCUUUAGGAUUAGAGAGUGGAGGUGUCUUUAGGCUUAUAGAGUGGUGGCUUUAGGAUUAGAGAGUGGAGGUGUCUUUAGGCUUAUAGAGUGGAGGUGUCUUUAGGCUUAUAGAGUGGAGGUGUCUUUAGGCUUAUAGAGUGGAGGUGUCUUUAGGCUUAUAGAGUGGUGGCUUUAGGAUUAGAGAGUGGAGGUGGCUUUAGGCUUAUAGAGUGGUGGCUUUAGGAUUAGAGAGUGGAGGUGGCUUUAGGCUUAUAGAGUGGUGUCUUUAGGCUUAGAGAGUGGAGGUGUCUUUAGGCUUAGAGAGUGGAGGUGUCUUUAGGCUUAUAGAGUGGAGGUGUCUUUAGGCUUAUAGAGUGGUGGCUUUAGGAUUAGAGAGUGGAGGUGUCUUUAGGAUUAGAGAGUGGAGGUGGCUUUAGGCUUAGAGAGUGGGGGUGUCUUUAGGCUUAGAGAGUGGAGGUGUCUUUAGGCUUAGAGAGUGGAGGUGUCUUUAGGCUUAUAGAGUGGAGGUGUCUUUAGGCUUAUAGAGUGGUGGCUUUAGGCUUAGAGAGUGGUGGCUUUAGGCUUAGAGAGUGGAGGUGGCUUUAGGCUUAGAGAGUGGUGGCUUUAGGCUUAGAGAGUGGAGGUGGCUUUAGGCUUAGAGAGUGGAGGUGGCUUUAGGCUUAGAGAGUGGAGGUGGCUUUAGGCUUAGAGAGUGGAGGUGGCUUUAGGCUUAUAGAGUGGAGGUGGCUUUAGGCUUAGAGAGUGGAGGUGGCUUUAGGCUUAUAGAGUGGAGGUGGCUUUAGGCUUAGAGAGUGGAGGUGGCUUUAGGCUUAGAGAGUGGUGGCUUUAGGCUUAGAGAGUGGAGGUGGCUUUAGGCUUAGAGAGUGGAGGUGGCUUUAGGCUUAGAGAGUGGAGGUGGCUUUAGGCUUAGAGAGUGGAGGUGGCUUUAGGCUUAGAGAGUGGAGGUGGCUUUAGGCUUAGAGAGUGGAGGUGGCUUUAGGCUUAGAGAGUGGAGGUGGCUUUAGGCUUAGAGAGUGGAGGUGGCUUUAGGCUUAGAGAGUGGAGGUGGCUUUAGGCUUAGAGAGUGGUGGCUUUAGGCUUAGAGAGUGGAGGUGGCUUUAGGCUUAGAGAGUGGAGGUGUCUUUAGGCUUAUAGAGUGGUGUCUUUAGGCUUAGAGAGUGGAGGUGUCUUUAGGCUUAUAGAGUGGUGUCUUUAGGCUUAUAGAGUGGAGGUGUCUUUAGGCUUAGAGAGUGGAGGUGGCUUUAGGAUUAGAGAGUGGAGGUGGCUUUAGGAUUAGAGAGUGGAGGUGGCUUUAGGAUUAGAGAGUGGAGGUGGCUUUAGGAUUAGAGAGUGGAGGUGGCUUUAGGAUUAGAGAGUGGAGGUGGCUUUAGGCUUAGAGAGUGGAGGUGUCUUUAGGCUUAUAGAGUGGUGGCUUUAGGAUUAGACGUUGGGUUUCGGGUUAGAGAGUGGAGACGGUCAGACAGGAUCAGAUUAACAGGGAGAGGAGGGGGCUGAGAGACUCGUAUGUCAGCAGGUCUGUCAAAUACCCGUACAUGUUCGUGGUUUGUCCAUACAGCCAGACAGUACAUAUUUAGUCCACAAUAACAUUUGGACCAGAUUUCUGUUUUCAACAGUCAGAGCAGUGAUGUCAUAGCAUGAGCUGAAUGACAGUGUAGAUCCCCUACUGGUGAUGUCAUAUCCCCUAGUGAUCUUCUUUUUCAUCUGCUGCCCUAGGUAUAUCAACAAGGCACGUUGUCUCUUCAUACUAGGCUGUACUGUCCAGCCCCAUGGUAGAGUAUCUCCAUGCUAGGCUGUACUGUCCAGCCCAAUGGUAGAGUCUCUCCAUGCUAGGCUGUACUGUCCAGCCCAAUGGUAGAGUCUCUCCAUGCUAGGCUGUACUGUCCAGCCCCAAUGGUAGAGUCUCUCCAUGCUAGGCUGUACUGUCCAGCCCAAUGGUAGAGUCUCUCCAUGCUAGGCUGUACUGUCCAGCCCAAUGGUAGAGUCUCUCCAUGCUAGGCUGUACUGUCCAGCCCAAUGGUAGAGUCUCUCCAUGCUAGGCUGUACUGUCCAGCCCAAUGGUAGAGUCUCUCCAUGCUAGGCUGUACUGUCCAGCCCCAUGGUAGAGUCUCUCCAUG